rnacentral:rRNA from 1 species
UACGAAGGGGGCUAGCGUUGCUCGGAAUCACUGGGCGUAAAGCGUGCGUAGGCGGUCUUUUAAGUCCGUUGUGAAAGCCCUGGGCUCAACCUGGGAAUGGCAGUGGAUACUGGAAGGCUGGAGUACGGUAGAGGAGGGUGGAAUUCCUGGUGUAGCGGUGAAAUGCGCAGAUAUCAGGAGGAACACCAAUGGCGAAGGCAGCACUCUGGGACGUGACUGACGCUGAGACGCGAAAGCGUGGGGAGCAAACAGG